rnacentral:lncRNA from 1 species
UUAGGAAUCCCCAAUAAGUUUAAUAAAUAUCCUCUUUUUACAUCUAAAAAACGAUUAAUAAAAAUAAAUCCAUACCAAAAAUAUAAAAAAAUAAAAAGAAAGUAACAACUCUCAUCACCAAAUGCAACGGAUUCUCUUCCCCUUUCUUGAGAUCGCUUCUCGGCUGAAUUAAUGGAGGAAUUUACUGUAUCAAUGAACAGUCAAAAAUUUGGAGCAUCUUUCGUUUUCUCCUCCAUUUUUGUUUUAUUUUUCAAACUUCAUGGAGUUUAGCUAAAUAUCUACAGAUUCUUGUGCUCACUAAUCCAUGGCGUUUGGACCAGCACAAGCUUUAAGAACAGGGCUCCAUAUCCACUGAACCAAAAACUUUCUUCCUCUCCGUCCGUUCAAAUUAUAAGUCCGGGCAUUUCUAUGCUUCAUUACUUGUCCAAUGUACCCAGCCCACCCCCUGUACCAUCCCCAUUUCUAUCUUUCAUUACCUGUCCAAUGUACCCACCCCCACCCCCUGUACCAUACAAUCCCUCGCACAAAUCUCCGAUCUCCGUCGGCGCAACCGGAUCUUCCCCAGCAUACCACGCAUUCACUAACGGAUUUGAUGAUAGUUCAGCUAGUUCGUGACCUAUUACGCUUAUCAUUCCGUCAACUCCGACGUCCCCGUUUGGUGAUUUCAAUGCCCCGGGCCCACCUCCACCCAUGUACCCCGGCACCGCAAAUGGAUACGCGCAAACUUCGGGACAUUGCUUCCCGGAGUUGCCGACCCAAGCGUACGGCAGUGUGUACCCUACUUUCGAUGCGAAGGUGAAGUAGUGAAACCCACAAACUGCUCGACAAAAGUCCUGCAUCGUAACAUCGACCGAAGUUAACACGAGGUAGAUCCCUUUCUUAUGAUCGACGGUGAAUGGUUUUGAUCGGACGGCUUCAGCAAUGACAUCUUGAAUGGAGAGGCGAUUAAGGUUUUUCCCCUGAGAAUACUUAUAGUCAGAGUAUUCUCCAGCAAUUAGCACAGAGCGUGAAAUAUUAGCUCCGGUUUGGUCAGUGUACAGGGACACAGUGCUCCACCACUCCGCGACGGAAGGUGACGGAGCAGCACGGUGGUUGAAGGUGGAAACAGAGAGAAGGAAGUCUUUAAUGAGGAGUUGCUGUGACGGGGCCCAUUUACCAUACCAAAUGAGGUAGAUAUUGAUCGGAGAAGAAAGAACUGGACCCAUAUGGUAACGGAGGUUUACCAGGUCUGAAGAUCCCUCGAAUUUCUUUGACGAAGUGAGUGUCUUUGGGGGAAGUUUUGGGUUGAAGUAGUUUGGGUUUUUGAGCUCAAGAGUUUGUGCUGUAGGGGAAGAAGCAUAGUUAAAUCCAAGCUGAAACAAAAGGGUUAAGAGAAAUAUGUUUAGUAUAACUCUAAACAUUAUCAAUGGCGGAAAGAGAUGUGGAGCUUAGGCAGCUGAGAGUCUGAUGGGUGAGGACAAGUGAAGUUGAAGGGUGGGGGCACAUUUUAUAAAGAGGAGAAGGUGUUGUGGUAAG